UACGGGGGGAGCAAGCGUUGUUCGGAUUUACUGGGCGUAAAGGGCGCGUAGGCGGCCACCGCAAGUCGACUGUGAAAUCUCCGGGCUUAACCCGGAAAGGUCAGCCGAUACUGCGGGGCUAGAGGUGCAGAAGGGGCAACUGGGAAUUCUCGGUGUAGCGGUGAAAUGCGUAGAUAUCGAGAGGAACACCUGCGGCGAAGGCGGGUUGCUGGCUGACACUGACGCUGAGGCGCGAAAGCUAGGGGAGCGAACGGG
rnacentral:rRNA from 1 species